rnacentral:rRNA from 1 species
UACGGGAGGCAGCAGUGGGGAAUAUUGCACAAUGGGCGAAAGCCUGAUGCAGCUAUGCCGCGUGUAUGAAGAAGGCCUUAGGGGUUGUAAAGUACUUUCAUCGGGGAGGAAAAAACAAAACUAAUAAUUUUAUUUCUUGACGUUACCCGAAAAAGAAGCACCGGCUAACUCCGUGCCAGCAGCCGCGGUAAUACGGAGGGUGCUAGCGUUAAUCAGAAUUACUGGGCGUAAAGAGCACGUAGGUGGUUUUUUUAAGUCAGAUGUGAAAUCCCUGGGCUUUAACCUAGGAACUGCAUUUUGAAACUGAAAUACUAGAGUAUCGUAGAGGGAGGUAGAAUUCUAGGUGUAGCGGUGAAAUGCGUAGAUAUCUGGAGGAAUACCUGUGGCGAAAGCGGCCUCCUAAACGAAUACUGACACUGAGGGUGCGAAAGCGUGGGGAGCAAACAGGGAUUAGAUACC